GCUUCGCGCAUCUCGGCCGCCAUCUUCCUAGCCAGUCAAUUUCUGAUAAACAAUAUAAGGACUGUAAAGAGAAGUACAAAUAUUUGCCUGUAUCUCUUCAAUAUGGUCGUAGAUUUGUUCCUAGCGAGAGUUUGACAAAAUUUGAGUGGUUUGGCACUUUGAUGCAGUUUAGAAGUUCAGAUGACCUGCAUCAUAAUGUAUUGAAAAAGCGUUGAAUCUUGACGGUCACUUUCAUUUGAUUCAUCCGAGGUGUAUGCGGGUUCAUUUAUUUUCCUUCUAAAGGAGACCGCCAAAGCUCUUGUCUGACUCAUAUGCCUUGAAGUAGCAAAGCAGAUUUCUGCUAUCAUCAAGUUGGUCUGUGACCAUAACUGACUCACAUAUGGAACACUUGUGCUUUUCAAAAUAUUUCUGGAAUGGAGAAAUCAAAACAGGAAUGCUUGAGUCAGCUUUGCAGAAUUGUGCCGUAAUAUAUGAAAUUAUAAUAUGAAGAAUUGUGCAGUAAUAUAUGAAAUUAUAAUAUGAUAUAAUAAUGAUAUUACAUGAUAGUAGUUGCUAUCAUGUAACAGACAUUAAUUAAUGUUUGAAUCCACAGCUGAUGUUAUGUAAAGUUUGCAAGAAGUACUUGUAAAUUGUGUUUUCCAUAUACCACUUCCACUUUGAAUUAUCAUAUUUAGGAACAAACUGUAGGAACAAACUACUAUUACAGAUAAAGCAUAUACAAUCAUCAA